UGUCCUCCAUAGGAGGUUUAUAUUGAGCAGAUUCUUUUUGGUAUUGGGUGGUGGAACUGGAGCGUGCUCCAUCCACUCCAUGCAUUGACCUGGUAUUACAGUGCCUCCAGGACUGGUGC
rnacentral:snRNA from 1 species